rnacentral:rRNA from 2 species
UACGUAGGUGGCGAGCGUUAUCCGGAUUUACUGGGCGUAAAGGGAGCGUAGGCGGAUGAUUAAGUGGGAUGUGAAAUACCCGGGCUCAACUUGGGUGCUGCAUUCCAAACUGGUUAUCUAGAGUGCAGGAGAGGAGAGUGGAAUUCCUAGUGUAGCGGUGAAAUGCGUAGAGAUUAGGAGGAACACCAGUGGCGAAGGCGACUCUCUGGACUGUAACUGACGCUGAGGCUCGAAAGCGUGGGGAGCAAAC